rnacentral:rRNA from 1 species
ACGCACGCUGGCGGCGUGCUUCACGCAUGCAAGUCGAACGGAAAGGCCCUGCUUGCCGGGUACUCGAGUGGCGAACGGGUGAGUAACACGUGGGUGAUCUGCCCUGCACUUCGGGAUAAGCUUGGGAAACUGGGUCUAAUACCGGAUAGGAACCAUCUUUAGUGUGGUGGUUGGAAAGUUUUUUCGGUGUAGGAUGAGCUCGCGGCCUAUCAGCUUGUUGGUGGGGUAAUGGCCUACCAAGGCGGCGACGGGUAGCCGGCCUGAGAGGGUGUACGGCCACAUUGGGACUGAGAUACGGCCCAGACUCCUACGGGAGGCAGCAGUGGGGAAUAUUGCACAAUGGGCGCAAGCCUGAUGCAGCGACGCCGCGUGGGGGAUGAAGGCCUUCGGGUUGUAAACUCCUUUCGCUAGGGACGAAGCUUUGUUGUGACGGUACCUAGAUAAGAAGCACCGGCUAACUACGUG